rnacentral:rRNA from 1 species
GCACACAGGUGCUGCAUGGCUGUCGUCAGCUCGUGUCGUGAGAUGUUGGUUAAGUCCCGCAACGAGCGCAACCCUUGCCAUUAGUUGCUACAUUUAGUUGGGCACUCUAAUGGGACUGCCGGUGACAAACCGGAGGAAGGUGGGGAUGACGUCAAGUCCUCAUGGCCCUUAUAGGUGGGGCUACACACGUCAUACAAUGGCCGGUACAAAGGGUAGCCAACCCGCGAGGGGGAGCCAAUCCCAUAAAGCCGGUCGUAGUCCGGAUCGCAGUCUGCAACUCGACUGCGUGAAGUCGGAAUCGCUAGUAAUCGUGGAUCAGCAUGUCACGGUGAAUACGUUCCCGGGUCUU